ACAGAGUUUUUCACAGAGUGACCACCUGAUCGCUGCAAAGCUGCUUGACAGCUCGCUCUUCCCACACUUUGUCCUGUCAUUCCCUACAUCUGAGCUUGACCUCUGCUGUGAAACUAUGGCCUGUAGUAAACAAGGAAGAGCUGACCACUCUGUACCACCACGCUGAGUUUCAUACUGAUAAGACAGCCCUGUCUCUGUUAACAUCCGUCAAUGACAACUUAGGAAGCUUUUGCUGAGACUGUUACUCUGCUGAAAAUUAUCAUAACAUCUCCUAUGAUGACAUCUGAGUCAGAGAGGAACUUUUGCACCCUGAAGAGGGUAAAAACUUUUGCUUGCAAUAUCAUGGGACAGCCGUGACUCAGCUUAUGGCCAUGCUGUCCAUCGAAAGCCGGCUGAUUCAGCAGCUACACGACUUCAUCCCCAAAGUCAUCGAGAAGUUUGCCCAGAGGAAAAAGCGCUGCGCCGCCUUUCUCUUCAAGUGAGCUGUCAGCUUUGACCUGCUAGAAGCAAGCCACUGUGCUGUUAAAAGUGUUUUGUGGAGCCAUGCAUGGACCCAUGACAUGUAAAAAAAAAACAUCAGUAGCAAGAAUUACCACCCUUCCCCCCUUCCUACCGCUGUAGUGAUUGCGUGAGCGCACCUGCUCAUCAAGGCCUGGAGGUUAAAGACCAGGAGGAACGGACAGUUGGCAGCUUUUGGGCUGUGUGUUGGUUGUUAUUCUCAGCUAAACUUGAGUUGUGGUGUACGGGGGUCAGUAACUUUGGCUCCCUUUUAGAGGGACUGUGUUUAUUAAUGUUGUGUUUAGCCUCAGUUUAAUUUAACUUGUUUCAUUUGUAUUUAGUUCCAUUUUCUUCUUGCAUAGACAGUAGUUUUCAGUUGGUAUUUUUAAUUAAAUUGUUAAUAAAUUCUUGGUUUGUUCAUAUCCUUCCAUUCUCCUUGCUUCUUUGUGCCCAGGUUAUGUUACUUCCCUCAUCCCCUGGAUUCAUUCAGGCCAGAGAUAUUCUGAUUUCUAACCCAUUUGACAAAGAUCAGGUGUCAGGUGUUUUAAUUGGGGUAUAAAAAGGCUUCUGUAUGGUUUCCAAUACAUUUUCACAUCAAUUAUCCAGACACAGGUCAGUUGGUACAGUAAUGGUCAUGGGAGCACUAACGCUCUGCUUAGGAAUUUGAGUAUUACUUCCCCAGGCAGAUUGAAAUAAGAAUGAGAGAAUGGGAAAGGACCAGAUGAGGAUUAGACUUUGGGUUUAGGAUGAGUCAUGUAUGUGGGAGGAACAGAGCAGGGUUUUGGCUGCGUCUGUGUCUCUGGGUGGGUUUGUGGUUAUAGCCGUGACCAUAGUUACAUUUGCGUCUCCAUGAUGUGAUGCUUGAUGACCUGAAGAAAAUCCUCUAGGAGCCAGAAGUUGCCCCCUCACGGUCCAUUUGAGCCGACACUUUGUGCUGUUGGCUUCAACAUCUCCCGCUGC